AACGGCCAUACCAUACUGAAUAUGCGCCGGUUCUCGUGCUAGAUCAUCGAACUCAAGCAUCAUUGGGCGCGGUCAGUACUUGGGUGGGGGACCGUCUUGGGAACCCC
rnacentral:rRNA from 1 species